rnacentral:lncRNA from 1 species
ACCCUCUUGGGGAUCCACCAAACCCGAAGGGGGAGGGUAAGGAAGGACUAUCCUUUCAUUUGGAAGAGGCGCUCGAAUCAGAUACAGAGGAGUAUCUAAGAGCCUCCGGGAAAUGUACUUAGUUAUGUUGGAAGGAGUAAUAUGCGACUCAAUGUUAACAACAUCAGGAAGCUCUGAAAGGGCCAUGGAAGAACAAGGAAGCGUACCUGAAAAUGCAAUAAGGUGAAAAAAGCAGAAGGAGUUGCAGGGAGACAGAGAGCAGAAAAGAGCUAGUUUCUUCAGAAGACAGAAGGAAUUCGAAAUGAAAGGCAAUAAUGAGAUGAAACGUUGAUCUGAACAGUUUUGUCUUGGAGCUGCGCG